rnacentral:rRNA from 1 species
GCAAGUUGAACGAAGUACCAUGAGUUUACUCUUGGUAACUUAGUAGCGGACGGGUGAGUAACGCGUGAGUAACCUACCUUUGUGAGGGGGACAACAGCUGGAAACGGCUGCUAAUACCGCAUAAGGCCACGGUGUCGAUUGACACAGUGGUAAAAGAAUCUAAUCGCACAAAGACGGACUCGCGUCCCAUUAGCUAGUUGGUGAGGUAACGGCCCACCAAGGCAACGAUGGGUAGCCGACCUGAGAGGGUGAUC